UCCUCCCUCCUCCCCUCUCGUCCAAACCACCCCUCCUCUCCUCCCCCUCCCUCCUCCCCGGUCGCUCUCUCCCUCACGCCUCUUCCAAGGAGAUCCCUUGCUCUCCCCGCGUCUCCCCAUUCUGCCUAUCCCCGUCUCACCGGCGUUCCGCGCUCAACUCUUCACCUCGUGGGCUGUGGUGAGGUCAGCGUGCACACUGGAAGUGUAGCCCCCACUUUGCCGUCACCCCUUAAUAUGACCCUCACUGGGGGUCGCCCUGACUCCACAAUAGCCUCAGCUGUGAACCACUGACUUCAUAAAGUGACCAGUUCAACACCAAUCACAUCAGCACCUCCACAUACACACAGAAAAAAUACAUUGGCUCCAUCAUCACUGCCAAUAUCAUCAUCACUGUCCAUGCCAAAAACAUCACCGCCAUCACAAUAUCGUCAGCGUCACCACCAUCAUAAACAUCACUGCCAUCAUCUCCAAGCUGGGAGAGCUGUAGCAGGACAUUGUGACCCGUGGGUGAAGGAUACAAACAGGACUUGACUGAGGAGGCCUUGUCUGUAAUAGAGGGAGUGGGCCAGGGGGGUGAUACGGAUGUUUACCGCCGUGAAUGAAGUCUCAGACUUGUUUGAAAACAGAGCCUACCUCUACCCUUAACCCAGGUUUAGGCCUAGCCUUUUAACUGCACACUAGAAAUCUCUAACUCGAAACCCUAAACUAAGCCUAACUCUACUUCUAACCCAUGCCUGUCUCUCACACGCUCCCUAACAAUACCUCUAACUCAGCCACACCCUACCCUAACCCAGGCCUGCCUUUCACCGUAUCCCUACUAUAACGCUAACGCAGUCACAACCCUACCCCUAACCCACGCCUACCUCUCACCCUCUCCCAACCAAUACCUCUAACGCAGCCACUACCCUCCCCAAUUGUACCUCGACCUAUCACCUUCCCCAAUGUCUAACUAUUCCUCGUCUCUCCUCUAGGCUUACGAUGCCUUUGUGCUGCAGCUAAAACUCACCGGAACUCAACUGCGCACGGCCCUGCUCUCCCUGACCCUCCUUGCUCUCCUCCUGGCCAGGACCCAAUAUACUUUGGAUCCCAGUCCACUUGGACGUCAACCCCCUUUACUAGCGGUGUGGGGGCCCAAGGCAGGGACAUGGGGAUUCCUCAUUGGCUGGUGCUAGUGUUGUUGGGGUGCGUGGGGGUCACAAUGAAAUCAGACCGCGCUGGGGACCCCGCAGGGUCCCAGAUCCCUUUGUCCUGGUCUGAAGGACCCAAGGGGUCCUGGGGUGGUAAAAUAGCGGCCGUGGUGGAACACAACAACAAAAAGACCGUGUCCAUGACUCUUAAGCACAAUAACAACAACCAGACUGUUUUCUAGAAGGCUGUUAAUGUACAAGCACAACUAUGACCAGCAAGCCUAUGCGCCAUAAACGCUCAGCCCGCAAGAAGAACCACAAGUAAUUUGUCUAGCAGACUCACGAUCAACAACAAGCAGGAUCGACACGCACAGGCUCGGGAGGACAGCCACGGGCAGUGACAAAAAAA